UUUUUUUUCUCGGUUUUGUUUUCAGGUUUUCAUCAUUAUUCAUUUGGUGGCUAAAUAUUACUCAUGGGACGUUUCUAGAGAAUGCAAGACCAUGUUUGAGUGAGAAAUUGGUCUCGAUGAAAUUGAGAGUUCAAUGAACAGCACA